rnacentral:rRNA from 1 species
AGGCUUAACACAUGCAAGUCGAGGGGCAGCAUGGUCUUAGCUUGCUAAGGCCGAUGGCGACCGGCGCACGGGUGAGUAACACGUAUCCAACCUGCCGUCUACUCUUGGACAGCCUUCUGAAAGGAAGAUUGAUACAAGAUGGCAUCAUGAGUCCGCAUGUUCACAUGAUUAAAGGUAUUCCGGUAGACGAUGGGGAUGCGUUCCAUUAGAUAGUAGGCGGGGUAACGGCCCACCUAGUCUUCGAUGGAUAGGGGUUCUGAGAGGAAGGUCCCCCACAUUGGAACUGAGACACGGUCCAAACUCCUACGGGAGGCAGCAGUGAGGAAUAUUGGUCAAUGGGCGAGAGCCUGAACCAGCCAAGUAGCGUGAAGGAUGACUGCCCUAUGGGUUGUAAACUUCUUUUAUAAAGGAAUAAAGUCGGGUAUGGAUACCCGUUUGCAUGUACUUUAUGAAUAAGGAUCGGCUAACUCCGUGCCAGCAGCCGCGGUAAUACGGAGGAUCCGAGCGUUAUCCGGAUUUAUUGGGUUUAAAGGGAGCGUAGAUGGAUGUUUAAGUCAGUUGUGAAAGUUUGCGGCUCAACCGUAAAAUUGCAGUUGAUACUGGAUAUCUUGAGUGCAGUUGAGGCAGGCGGAAUUCGUGGUGUAGCGGUGAAAUGCUUAGAUAUCACGAAGAACUCCGAUUGCGAAGGCAGCCUGCUAAGCUGCAACUGACAUUGAGGCUCGAAAGUGUGGGUAUCAAACAGGAUUAGAUACCCUGGUAGUCCACACGGUAAACGAUGAAUACUCGCUGUUUGCGAUAUACUGCAAGCGGCCAAGCGAAAGCGUUAAGUAUUCCACCUGGGGAGUACGCCGGCAACGGUGAAACUCAAAGGAAUUGACGGGGGCCCGCACAAGCGGAGGAACAUGUGGUUUAAUUCGAUGAUACGCGAGGAACCUUACCCGGGCUUAAAUUGCAGAUGAAUUACGGUGAAAGCCGUAAGCCGCAAGGCAUCUGUGAAGGUGCUGCAUGGUUGUCGUCAGCUCGUGCCGUGAGGUGUCGGCUUAAGUGCCAUAACGAGCGCAACCCUUGUUGUCAGUUACUAACAGGUUCCGCUGAGGACUCUGACAAGACUGCCAUCGUAAGAUGUGAGGAAGGUGGGGAUGACGUCAAAUCAGCACGGCCCUUACGUCCGGGGCUACACACGUGUUACAAUGGGGGGUACAGAGGGCCGCUACCACGCGAGUGGAUGCCAAUCCCCAAAACCUCUCUCAGUUCGGACUGGAGUCUGCAACCCGACUCCACGAAGCUGGAUCCGCUAGUAAUCGCGCAUCAGCCACGGCGCGGUGAAUACGUUCCCGGGCCUUGUACACACCGCCCGUCAAGCCAUGGGAGCCGGGGGUACCUGAAGUGCGUAACCGCGAGGAGCGCCCUAGGGUAAAACUGGUGACUGGGGCUAAGUAG